GGCUAUAGGAGGGUGAGGUUGGGCUGUAAGAAGGAGAUGUCGGACUGUAUGAUGGCGAUGUUGGGCUGUAUGAUGGAGACGUGGGGCUGUAUGCAGGUGAAGUUGGGCUAUAUGCCGGUGAAGUAGGGCUGUAGCUUGGUGAAGUUGGACUAUAACUUGGUGAAGUAGGACUGUAACUUGGAGACGUAGGGCUGUAGCUUGGAGACGUAGGGCUGUAGCUUGGAGAGGUAGGGCUAUAGCUCGGUGAGGUUGGAGAAUAAGAGGGACUUGUAGGUGAGUAGGCUGGACUUGUUGGGCUGUAACCUGGUGAACUAGGACUGUAAGUAGGUGAUGUGGGGCUGUAACCAGGCGAGGUAGGACUGUAGCCAGGAGAUGUAGGGCUGUAACCAGGCGAGGUAGGACUGUAGCCAGGAGAUGAAGGACUGUAGCCAGGAGAUGAUGGGCUGUAACCAGGGGAUGACGUGGGAGAGAAUGCCAUCCCACCAACAUAAGGUGAGAACUGAGCAUCCGAAAUGGGAGAGAGACGGAGAUUUGGGCUCAGCAAGUAACUUGGAGACAUCAUGCCUUCAUGAUAUGGAGUUCCUGAUACUGGAGAUCGA
rnacentral:lncRNA from 1 species